ACACUGUUCAUGGGUUACCGCGGCUGCUGGCACGGAGUUAGCCGGUGCUUCUUCUGUGAGUGAUGUCCUUCCUGCCGGCUAUUAACCCGCAGGCCUUCUUCCUCACUGAAAGUGCUUUACAACCCGAAGGCCUUCUUCACACACGCGGCAUGGCUGGAUCAGGGUUGCCCCCAUUGUCCAAUAUUCCCCACUGCUGCCUCCCGUAGGAGUCUGGGCCGUGUCUCAGUCCCAGUGUGGCUGAUCAUCCUCUCAGACCAGCUACGGAUCGUCGCCUUGGUGAGCCGUUACCUCACCAACCAGCUAAUCCGACAUAGGCUCAUCCGAUAGCGCGAGGCCCGAAGGUCCCCCGCUUUCCCCCGUAGGGCGUAUGCGGUAUUAGCCUGGGUUUCCCCAGGUUAUCCCCCGACUACCGGGCAGAUUCCUAUGCAUUACUCACCCGUCCGCCGCUCGCCACCAGGGAGCAAGCUCCCCGUGCUGCCGCUCGACUUGCAUGUGUUAGGCCUGCCGCCAGCGUUCAAU
rnacentral:rRNA from 1 species